AUGGACGUUCUGCGGCCCACCCUGAUAAGGAUCGGGGAGCGAGUAUACAGGAAAAAUCUCAUUCGAGAGCAGGCCUGCCAGCUCGAGGAGGAGGAGGAUGAUUUCUGUGCAGGCCCCAGUGACUGUGCAGACGAACCCUGUGAUGCCUUUGUGGUGGAAGAGACCGAGAAAGGCUUCCAGUGCAGAGUGGAGGUUCCCAGCCCCUUAUACAAGUACAUCAUUGGGAAGAAAGGGGAAACAAAGAAGAGACUAGAAACAGAGACUCGAACCUCCAUCAGCAUUCCCAAGCCUGGAGUCGAAGGAGAAAUUGUGAUUACAGGGCAGCAUCGCAGCGGUGUCAUCUCUGCCCGAACGCGGAUCGAUGUUCUCCUGGACAGCUUCCGUAAGAAGCAGCCCUUCACACACUUCCUGUCCUUCGCUCUCAACCAGCCUGCCGUCCAGGAGAAGUUCCUGCAGUUCAAGGAGGAAGUGUUGGAGAAAUGCUCGCAGGAUCACGGGGUGAGCAGCAGCCUGUUCCAGAACCCUGCAAAGCUUCACCUGACUCUUGGGACGCUGGUACUUCUGAACGAGCAAGAGAUCCAGAAAGCAUGUGACCUCCUACGGCGAUGCAAAGAGGACUUUGUGGACCAAAUUGCUGGAGGCAAGCCCCUGACCGUGGAGGUGGCAGGAGUGGAGUACAUGAACGAUGACCCCGCCAUGACGGAUGUCCUUUAUGCCAAAGUCCACAUGAAGGAUGGCUCGGACAGAUUGCAGCUGAUUGCUGAUCAACUGGUGGAAAGGUUCGUGGCCUCCGGCCUGAUGCUUAAAGAAUGGGAUAGGGUGAAACUGCAUGCUACAGUCAUGAACACUCUCUUCAGGAAAGAUCCAAGCGCUGAAGAGCGAAACAAUGCAAUGACUGGUAAAUCAUCUUUCAAGGAACGGGAGUCGUUUAAUGGCCGAAAUAUCCUCAAGCUCUUCGAGAACUUCUACUUCGGAGAGGUGCAGCUGGACUCGGUGCGUCUUUCCCAGAGGUUCUCCUCGGACGCCUCUGGCUACUACGCGACAUCUGGGCAGCUGACCUUCUCCUGAAGCAGCACCGCAGCUGCCGCAGCGGCUCCGCUCGUCGGUGAAAUGUGUUUUUAUAGAAUGUGAAUUUUGGACAGGAACCCGGGAGCUCCAGGCAGGGAUGCCUCAUGACUCCUCGAAAGCACAUUGCAGCUGGGAACCGUGGCAUUUCCCACAGCUUUUCCUACGCGUAUUGCCUGCCCUUCCUUCGGGGGGAACCAGAGUCCUUGGGCCUCCUUUCCCUAUUGCCGAACGCCUUUGUGCUCUCCGAGCGGAGGAGGAAGGGCCGCCUUCGAAACCGUUCACUCGGCGAGCAGAGCACCGGCGCGCUCGCUGGCAGCCCGGUGCGGGGAGGUGCGGAGAGCACUUAGCACCAGUUGCUGUCAUCUUUCCACCAGCCUGAAGAGGUACUUGCCGAAUCUCAUCAGCCGCCCGAAGGACAGACCUGGGAGCUGCAAGCACAGCCGCCAGCCGCGCCGCCGGCCGCAGGAAUCACAG